AGCCGAGCAUCGCCUCGCUGACUGCGGUGUAUAUCGGAUUGCCGGAAAUCUGCGCAAUGCGGGUGUGGAACGCCAUGUCCGC
rnacentral:sRNA from 1 species